AACCGAGAACUCCUACGGGAGGCAGCAGUGGGGAAUUUUGGACAAUGGGGGCAACCCUGAUCCAGCCAUGCCGCGUGAGUGAUGAAGGCCCUAGGGUUGUAAAGCUCUUUUGUGCGGGAAGAUAAUGACGGUACCGCAAGAAUAAGCCUCGGCUAACUUCGUGCCAGCAGCCGCGGUAAUACGAAGGGGGCUAGCGUUGCUCGGAAUCACUGGGCGUAAAGGGUGCGUAGGCGGGUCUUUAAGUCAGGGGUGAAAUCCUGGAGCUCAACUCCAGAACUGCCUUUGAUACUGAGGAUCUUGAGUUCGGGAGAGGUGAGUGGAACUGCGAGUGUAGAGGUGAAAUUCGUAGAUAUUCGCAAGAACACCAGUGGCGAAGGCGGCUCACUGGCCCGAUACUGACGCUCAUGCACGAAAGCGUGGGGAGCAAACAGGAUUAGAAACCCUUGUAGUCCGACUGAGA
rnacentral:rRNA from 1 species